UUCACCUGUCAUGGGAGAAAGGCUGGAUUGUUUUGCUUCCUAAUCAGAGUCUCUCCUCCUGGACCUCACAAGCCUAAGGCCAUUUGGUACAGUGAUCAGAGGACUGGGUGAGGGCUCCUAGGGGGAGGGAGGGAGUGAAAUCACACUAACUGGGCAUCUACAAUGUGCCCUAUACAUGACGGAUGUUGCUUUAUUUACACCUCAAACUACCCAGUAAAUAAUUAUCUUUAUUUUAUAAAAGAGGAAACUAGGGCUCAGAGAGGUAAAAUGCCUUGUCCAAGGUCACAGAAUUAUUUGAUGGCAGAGCCCGGACUACCUGAUUUCCAUACUGGGCUCUGGGCUUCAUUCUGCAUCCUUUAUCAUAUCACUCUGGCUCUCAAUAGCCUCAUUGUUCUCAUCAAGGUUUAACACAGUGCACCUGACCUUCCUCAGGGACUCCUAGGAAAGCCUGUGGGAGAUGGUCCUGCACUUUCUGGUAGGCAGCAGCACCAGGCCCCUUUUAGGAUGCUGGUUCCCAUACCUUAAAUGAAGUUUCGCAAGGCAAGUCUCUCUCAGGGUUCAGAACUAAGGAAAUAACUUCUUUCCUAUUGAAAUUCUCAGCUUCCUUAAUUGGCAAAAGCCAAUCAUCUUGGGGGAUGAGGAUUAUAAACUUAGCAUCUGGCUCACUCUGCUGGCUGAUGGGAACUAGGUAGUCCGAUCCUUAGAGGAGGCAACAAACAAGAGGAAUAUGAUGGAAACCUUUUGAAUUUCUGUCUAUUUCUGGCUUGUAAUUUGGCGCUGGUCUAGGGCUGGACAGAGCUGCAGAGGGGGUGGAAAGGGAAUAACUAUUUAACUGUGGGGACCAGCAAUGCCCAAUUCAGCUUUUAGAGCUACAGGAAGGCUAAAGUUCAGGAGGGGAAGCAUUUCACAGAAAUUUCUGCAAUUCUUCAGAUGAGCGAGGGAAAUGACUUACUUUAUGGCAUCCCAGAAGGCAAGUCUAAGACCACUGGCUAUGGGAGCGGACUGCUCUCAACGUAAGGAAAUGCUUCCAGAGGCAGAGGCACAAGAUGUGUAUUCUAGGCUUGGCACAGCCAUCCAUGACUCCUACAGGUGGCUACUACUUGCAUGGAUAGUGGCUUGGGGGGUUAUAACAUUUAUUUUUGAAGAUUUUAUUUUUAAGUAACCUCUACACCCAACUUGGGGCUCGAACUCACAACUCUUAGUUUUAUGCUUUACCAACUGAACCAGCCAGGCACCUCAUAACAUAUUUUUGUAUCUGUUGCUUCAUCCAGUCCUCUCAGCAGCUCAGAGAGGCUUAGAGUUGAGAAGAUGAAGCUCAGAGAGUGAAGCUCUUGCCCAAGUUCAGGUGGCUGUGGAAAGUGACGAAGCCAGGCUUAUCCCUGGGUCUUCAGACUGAUUUCUCCCUCACUUCUCCACAGCUCCUUCUUCAUGGGGUAGGACUCCAUGACAUUCACAUAGUAGCUUCUACCUACUCUGACACCUGGGUCCCUGUGACCCUAGAUGCGUCUGUAUGUAACAGACAUGGAAAGAAGACAAUGCCACUACUACAGACCUAAGGGAAGGAAUCCAUGAGUGGGAAUGGGUUCUCCCUCCCCAGGUCAAUUUGCAUGCAUUAAAAUAGGCUCCACUUCCUCUGGGCUUGGCAGUCCUGCCCUGGAAGCUUACCUUCCGAGAGUCCUUCCGAGGCAUCAAAAUAUGAUGCUUAGCCUUUACUAUCUUCCUUCGAAUCAAGUGGAUCCCCAGGUGCUCCUGGAGGAAGGUUUUCAGCAAUGGAGGGACCCCUGGAGCCACGAUGGGGAAGUGAGAUUACUAUUAGCGGAUAUUUACUGGGAGCUUCUUAGGUGUCCAGCACUGUUCAAACUGCUGGGCAUGUAUUAACUUACUUCAUUUUCAGACCAACCACAGGAGGUAGGUACCUAUAUUAUUCCCAUUCAAUACGUGAGGAAACUGAGGCACAGACAGGUUAAGAAAUUUGCCCAAGAUAACAAGGAUAGUGAAAAGCAAGGACGAGAACUCUGCUGGUGUCACUCCAGGACCCAGGAUUCUAAAGUGCCAACAAGAUGCAGCUGCUAAUGCAGCACCCAGUAUAUCCAGGAUGCUCUGGGUGGGAGGGCCCUGUACCCCUCCCCAACUGGGAAGUAGGAAAUGAGGUCACAGCAGAACUGCUCUACAAAGCAGGGUGUUACUUAAAGAUCUCACACAGGAUCUAGAUAAUUCUGUAUUCCAUUCCCUGCUCUGCCUCUUUAUUGCUGUGGGACUUUGAUUAGGUUAUGAACCUCCUGGAUCCUCAGCUUCCUUCACUGUGCACGGGGACAGUGAUGCCUGCCACACAGGGCUGCUGUCAGGUAAGCUGGUACAGAAGCAGGUGCUCGGCAGUAUCUGUGCUUCUCUCCAUCUCCAAAGAACCCAAGGCUGGACAUUGAUGAGGUGGGGCUAAGGGGUGCCCAUGCUGCCCCUGGGCACCAGGACGGGGGCGCAGCCUUGCAGGUACCAUACCUCGUGUAUGCGCCACCAGAGGGUUGUUAUGAAAGAUGAGCUCGCAGAGAGACGGGAAGAGAGCUACCGGCAGGAUGGCAUCUUCCUUCGCGAUCUGUGAGGAAGGUAGGGAAAAGCUUCAGGUCGACACUGCCCCCCCUCUGCCCAGGUGCUGCCAGUCCCCACACUGUAGGCCGCAUGCUUGCUAGGGCUGAGGUGGAGCCGGCUUAGUUAUGCUGCUGUGCUCGGACUCAGUUCCGGGCAGCGUCUGUCCCUACGACAUCACCUGCUCACACCCAGAGGACCCUGCCCCACCCCUGUCCAAAAUUCCACAUCACAGUUUCUUGUUUGAAAGUUAAGAACUGUUUUCCUUUCUCCACACCAGAAAUGUAGCCCAGACCAAGUAAUGAAGAUGUUGGUGACAAAACAGGGACAAACACAUAUAGCACUUGUCUCACAAGGACUCUGGAAGGUUGGCAGGGCAUUGACUCUGACUUCAGGAUACAAUCUGUCUGACACUUCACCUUCCUCAGUGCAACCUCUACACACCUCAGUCUGUUGAUAGCAUUCUUGAUGAUGUCUUUCGUUAAGGCCUGUCCUGGACACUGAUCUGGGGAGGGACAGGGGGCAGGCAGUCAGGGGGACCCAUUCAUCUAAAGGAUAAGCAGAGCCAGUAAGGAAGACUUCAUGGCUGUCUGUGGCCCAAACGCUGCUCUAUCCCCACGAGGCCGGCCUCUGAAGGGCAAAAAAUACUCAACCUUUGUUGAGCAGAGUGGCUGGAACAUCCUUAGGGAGGGUGUCUAUUAGCAACAGAACAGUAUCAGAGGGGCCAAGAGUCGGGCAGUGGCCUUUCAGAUGCCUGGGUAUCUAACGGCAGACUCAGGACCUAUGGAAGACAAUUAAGGCCUGAGGGCUGCGAGAGAGAGGGCCCUUCAGUUUAUCUUUCUCUGGAGCCCCACUUUAUUUAUUCUUUCAUUUGUGUUCAUCCAAUCAAUAAGUAUUACUGAAUGCCUCCAUAUGCCAAGCACUGGGUUGGAAAUGAGCAAAACAGCUAGAACUCCUGUCCUCAGGAAGCACUGCCUGGUGGGAAACACUCAUUGAAGAAGUAAUAACACGAAAGAGGAUAGUUCUGAAGCUGUGAUUAGUGCCACAAGAGAGGGUGUGUGAAGUCCUCAGGUGAUUUGUUCCAAUCAGGGAAACAGGGAAGGCUUCCCUGAGAUCCAAAGUAUGGGGAGGGGGAAAUUUGUGAGUGCAGUGGAGAACAGACUGUACGGCACAGAAUCCUCUGUAUUAACCAAAACAGUUUCCUCUACUUUCUGGGCACACAGCUAGACUGUCUUCUAGCCUCCUAGGCAGCUAGAUGUGGUCACAGGACUCUAUUCUAGCUGAUGCAACCUAGGUAGAAGGGAUCAUUUCUGGGCAGAGCCCAUUUGAAACCUCCUAUGUGAUCCUCUACAUUUCUCAUUCCCCUCCUCUGCUCAGCCAUCUAUCCACCAGAUGCAGAGGAGCCAAUGAAAUCCUCUUAAGGCCCUAUGGGAUUACAGAACCAUAGCCAGAAGGGACCUGGGUCUCCGAAAGACCUGGGAGGCCACCAGCCCAUCUGGGAUACCUACAAUGGAUUUUAUGAAAGAAAUAGACUUUUACUGUGUGAAGUCAUUGAGAAUUUAAAGUUUAAAGUUUGUUGCAGCAGCUCAUGGUACGUGUUCUACCUAACACAGAGAGGAAGUGCUCCAUGCAGAGAGCAAUGUGUGAGAGGCAUCACAGCAAGGAGGAGGAAAGCCUGUUAGAGGGAUAUAAAGAAGGCCAGUGUGAUUAACAGCAGACAGAAAAUGAGGCUGGACAUGCAAAUAGGGGUCAGACAAAAGCUAGAAAGAUCUUGGUCUUUGAGAACUUAAUAUGUGGAUUUUCAGAAAUAUGAGGACCUAAAUAUGACAAGAGUUGGUAACAGGUUAGAUAUGCAUGGUGAGGAGGGAUGUAGAGGAGAGAGAAAUAUCAAGGAUGACAGCCACAUUUUGGCUUCAGUGAGCCACGUGCAUGAUGGAACUAUUCUCCAAGAUACGGGGCAAGGAAAGAAACUCAAAUUUGAAGCUCAUUAAUUCACUUGGAUAUGUGUACUAUGGAGGUACCUUUCAGACUUCCCAGUAGAGAUUCAGGUAGGCAACGAAUACCCUAGUCUAGAGUACAUAGGGUACAAGGGGUCUGUACUGGAAUUAUAAAUUUGUGAGCCACUAUUAAUUGGCCCUGUGGGUACGUGAAGCCAUCCCUAGGGAGAGAGUACAGAGUGAUUAAAAGAGAAGGGACAAGGAGUAGGCCUUAAGCAACUCUAACAUUUGGUCAUCUAGAUCUAGACCAGGACUUGGCAAACCUUUUCUGUCAAGGACCAGAGAGUAAAUGUUUCAGGCUUUAUAGGCCUUAACAUGUCAGUUGCAACUACUCAACUGUGCUGUUGUAGCACAAAAACAGCCAGAGACAACUCAUAAAUAAGUGUGGUGGCUCUUUUUCAAUAAAACUUUAGUUAUGGACUAUGAAAUUUGGAUUUCAUGUAAUUUUAAUAUGUCAUGAAGUAUUAUCCUUCUUUCGAUUUUUUUCAACCAUUUAAAAAUAUAAGAAUCAGCCUUAGCUUGAAGGCUGUACAAAAACCAAGGUCAGCAGAUAACACCUGUGGGCCAAAUCUGUCUCCCCCCAAUCUGUUUAAUAAAGUUUCAUCAGAACACUGUCAUGCUCCUUGAAAAAAGCAUAGAAGACAGCAGAGAAUGUAUUGCUGCAGAGCUCAAAGACCUAAGAAAUAGUCAUGAUGAAUUAAGAAAUGUUGUAAAUGAGAUGCAAAAUAAACUAGAUGCAGUGACAGCAAGGAUGGAAGAAGCAGAGGAGAGAAUAGGUGAAACAGAAGAUAAAGUUAUGGAAAAUGAUCAAGCUGAAAAAAAGAGGGAAAAGGAAAUUAUUGGACCAUGAGGGGAGAAUUAGAGACCUAAGUGAUUCGUUGAAACAAAAUAUAUCCAUAUCAUAGGAGUUCCAGAAGAAGAAGAGAGAAAGGGGCAGAAGGCUUAUUUGAGCAAAUUAUAGCUGAGAACUUCCCUAAUCUGGGGAAGGAAACAGGCAUCCAAGUCCAAGAGGCACAGAGAACUCCCUUCAAAAUCAACAACAGGUCAACACCACAAUGUAUCAUAGUGAAAAUAAUAAAAUACAAAGAUAAAGAGAGAAUUCUGAAAGCAGUGAGGGACAAAUGGGCCUUAUCCUACAAGGAUAGACACAUAAGGAUAGUAGUAGACCUGUCCACUGAAACUUGGUAGGCCAGAAGGGAGUGGCAGAAAAUAUUCAGUGCUUUGAACAGGAAAAAUAUUCAGCCAAGAAUCCUUUAUCCAGCAAGGCUAUCAUUCAGAAUAGAAGGAAACAUAAAGGCUUUUCCAGACAAAAACUAAAGGAGUUUGUGUCCACUAAACCAGCCCUGCAGGAGAUCCUAAGAGGGACUCUGUGAGCAGAAAGGAGCAAAGACUACAAAGGACCAGAGACAUCAUCACAAGCAUGAAAUCUACAGAUAACAUAAUGACACGAAAUCCGUAUCUUUCAAUUAAUCACUCUGAAUGUAGAUGAACUAAAUGCCCCAAUCAAAAGACACAGGGUAUCAGAAUGAAUUAAAACAAACAAACAAAAAGCAAGAUUCAUCUAUAUGCUGACUACAAAAGACUCAUUAUAGACCUGAGGACAGCUGCAGAUUGAAAGUGAGGGGAUGGAGAACAAUCUAUCAUGCUACUGGACAGCAAAAGAAAACCAGAGUAGCCAUACUUCUGUCAGACAAGCUGGAUUUUAAAACAAAGACUGUAAUAAGAGAUGAAGAAGGGCAUUCUAUCAUAAUUAAGGGGGAUAUCCAUCAAGAAGAGCUAACAAUUGUAAAUGUUUAUGCCCCCAAUGUGAAAGCACCCAAAUAUAUACAUCAGUUAAUCACAAACAUAAGUAAAUGUAUAGACAUUAAUACCAUGAUUGUAGGGGAGUUUAAUGCUCCACUUACAACAAUGGACUGAAUGACACAUUGGACCAGAUGGACUUAACAGAUAUAGUUAGAACUUUUCAUCCAAAAGCAGAAUACACAUUCUUCUUGAGUGCACAUGGAACAUUCUCCAAAAAGAUCACAUACUGGGUCACAAAAUAAAAAAGGAUUGAGAUCAUACCAUGCAUAUUUUCAGAUCACAACACUAUGAAACUUGAAAUCAACCACAAGGAAAAUCUGGAAAGCCCCCAAAUACAUGGAGGUUAAAGAACAUCCUACUAAAGAAUGCAUGGGUCAACCAGGAAAUUAAAGAAGAAAUUAGAAAAUAUAUGGAAGAAAUGAAAAUGAAAACAUGACAGACCAAACCCUUUGGGAUGAAGUAAAGGCAGUUCUAAGAGGAAAAUACAUUGUAAUUCAGGCCUAUCUCAAGAAGCAAGAAAGGCCCCAAAUACACCACCCAACCUUACACCUAAAGGAACUAGAAUAGAAAGGAGCAGCAAAGAAAGCCCAAAGCCAGCAGAAGAGAAAUAAUAAAGACUAGAGCAGAAAUAAACAAGAUAGAAUCCAAAAUCAAACAAACAACCCAGAACAGAUGAAUGAAUCUUAGAACUGGUUUUUUGAAAGAAUAAACAAAAUUGAUAAAUGCCUAGCCAGACCUCUCAAAAAGAAAAGAGAGAGGACCCAAAUAGAUAAAAAUCACGAAUGAAAGAGGAAAAAUCAUAACCAACACUAGAGAAAUACAAUUAUUAGAGAAUACUAUUAAAAAUUAUAUGCCAACAAAUUUGAAAAUCUGGAAGAAAUGGACAAAUUCCUAGACACCCACACACUACCAAAACUCAAAAGGGAAGAAACAGAAAAUUUGAACAGGCCCAUGACCAGCAAAGAAAUUGAAUGGAUUAUCAAAAACCUCCCAACAAAUUAAGAAUCCUGGGCAGGAUGGCUUCCCAGGGGAAUUUUACCAGACAUUUAAAGCAGAGUUAAUACCUAUUCUUCUCAAGGUGUUUCCAAAAAACAGAAACAGAAGGAAAGCUUCCAGACUCAUUCUAUGAAGUCAGCAUUGCCUUGAUUCCCAAACCAGACAAAGACCCCACUAAAAAGGAGAAUUACAGGCCAAUAUCCCUGAUGAAUAUGGAUGUAAAAAUUCUCAACAUGAACUAGCAAAUCAAAUUCAACAGUACAUUAAAGGAGUCAUUCACCAUGAUCAAGUGGGAUUCAUUCCUGGGCUGCAGGGCUGGUUUAAUAUUUGCAAAUCAAUCAAUGUGAUACAUCACAUUAAUAGAAGAAAGAAUAAUAACCAUAUGAUCCUGUCAAUAGAUGCAGAAAAAGUAUUUGACAAAAUAUAGCAUCCUUUCUUAAUAAAAACCCUCAAGAAAGUCAGGAUAGAAGGAAUAUAACAUCAUAAAAGCCAUAUAUGAAAGGCACACAGCUAAUACCUUCCUCAGUGGGGAAAACUGAGAGCUUUCCCCUGAAAUCAGGAACAUGACAGGGAUGUCCACUCUCCCCACUGUUGUUUUGUUUAACACAGUACUGGAAGCCCUAGCCUCAGCAAUCAGACAACACAAAGAAAUAAAAGGCAUCCAAAUUGGCAAAGAGGUCAAAUUCACUCUUUGCAGAUGACAUGAUACUCUACGUGGAAAACCUGAAAAGACUCCACCAAAAAACUUCUUCAACUGGUAUAUGAAUUCAGCAAAGGUGCAGGAUAUAAAAUCAAUGCAUAGAAAUCGGUUGCAUUCCUGUACACCAAUAACAAAGCAACAGAAAGAGAAAUCAAGGAAUCGAUUCCAUUUACAGUUGCUCUAAAAUAUAUGAAAUACCUAGGAAUAAACCUAACCAAAGAGGUAAAAGAUCUGUAUGCUGAAAACUAUGGAAAACUUAUGAAAUAAAUUGAAGAAGACACAAAGAAAUGGAAAAAUAUUCCAUGCUCAUGAAUUGGAAGAACAAAUAUUGUUAAAGUGUCGAUACUACCCAAAGCAAUCUACACAUUCAAUACAAUCCCAACAAACAGCACCAGCAUUCUUCUCAAAGCUAGAACAAAUAAUCCUAAAAUUUGUACGGAACCAUAAAAGACCCCAAAUAGCCAAAGUUAUGUACGUUGAAAAAGAAAACCAAAGCUGGAGGCAUCACAAUCCCAGACUUUAGCCUGUGUUACAAAACUAUAAUCAUCAAGACAGUAUGGUACUGGCACAAAAACAGACACACAGAUCAAUGGAAUAGAAUAGAGAACCCAAAAAUGGACCCACAAAUAUACUGCCAACUAAUCUUUGACAAAGCAGGAAAGAGUAUCCAAUGGAAAAAAGACAGUCUCUUUAGCAAAUAGUGGUGGGAGAAUUGGACAGCAACAUGCAGAAAAAUGAACCUGGACCACUUUCUUACACCAUACACAAAAAUAGAUUCAAAACAAAUGAAAGACCUAAAUGUGAGACAGGAAACCAUCAAAAUCCUACAGGAGAUAACAGGCAACAACCUCUUUGACUUCAGCCACAGCAACUUUUUUUUUUUUUUUUUAGCAACUUCUUAUUUGACAUGUCUCCAGAGGCAAGGGAAACAAAAGCAAAAAUGAACUAUUGGGACCUCAUCAAGAUAAAAAGCUUCUGUAUGGCGAAGGAAACAAUCAACAAAACUAAAAGGCAACUAAUGGAAUAGGAGAAGAUAUUUUCAAAUUACAUAUUUGAUAAAGGGUUAGUACCCAAAAUCUACAAAGAACUUACCAAACUCAAUACCCGAAAAACAAAUAAGCCAGUGAAGAAAUGGGCAGAAGACAUGAAUAGACAUUUUUCCAAAGAUGACAUCCAGAUGGCUAACAGAUACAUGAAAAGAUGCUCAACAUCACUCAUCAUCAGGGAAAUACAAAUCAAAACCACACUAGGAUACCACCUCAUGCUGGUAGAGAGACUAAAAUGAACUCAGGAAACAACAGAGAUUGGUGAGGAUGUGGAGAAAGGGGAACCAUCUUGCACUGUUGGUGGGAAUGCAAACUGGUGCAGCUACUCUGGAAAACACUGUGAAGGUUCCUCAAAAAAAUAAAAAUAAAAAUGCCUACCUUAUGGCCCAGCAAUAGCACUACUAGGAAUUUAUCCAAAGAAUUCAGGAGUGAUGAUUUCGUAGGGGUGCAUGUACCCCAAUGUUUACGGCAGCACUAUCAACAAUAGCCAAAUUAUGGAAAGAGCUCAAAUGGAAUACUACUCAGUGACGAAAAAGAACGAGAUCUUGCCAUUUACAACAAUCUGGAUGGAACUGUAGGGUAUUAAGCUAAGGGAAAUAAGUCAUUCAGAGAAUGACAGAUAUCAUUUGAUUUCACUCAUAUGUGGAAUUUGAGAAACUUAACAGAUUACCAUAGGGAAAGGGAAGGAAAAUUAAGAUACAAACAGAGAGGAAGGCAAACCAUAAGAGAUUCUUAAAUACAGAGAACAAACUGAGGAUUGAUGGGGGUUGGAGGUUGAGGAGUGCAGAAAAUGGGUGAUGAGCAUUGAGGAGGGCACUUGCUGGGAUGAGUCCUGGGUGUUGUAUACAAGUGAUGAAUCAUGGAAAUCUACUCCUGAAGCCAAGACUUCACUGUAUGUUAGCUAACUUGACAAUACAUAAAUUUAAAAAAAAAACAAAACAUCCAUUUACAUACUGCCUUUGUUCUACAAGGACAGAGUUGAGUAGUUGGGACAGAGUAUUAUAUUUAUCUGGCCCUUUGUAGAAAACACUUGCUGACUUCUUAUCUAGACUCUAGAGAAGGAGGGAAAGGGGGAUGAAGCUACAAAGAAGCCUAAUAUGUGUUCAUAAAUAACUAUAAAAUGGUGGCUAAAGUGGGUACAGAGUCUCUUAUAUGCAAAACAGGUGGUCAAGAAGCAGUCACAACAGAAUGGGGGAGGGAAAAUUAAAUUGAAUUUUGUCAGGAUGCAAAAUUCCACCUAUCCAAAUCAGAUGACUAAAAAGUUGAAGAAAGUUAUAAUUAAAACUGGUAGAAAGCUGAAAGAUACCCAAGGCAUGUAUGUCAUAUUUUCUGUGAAAUUGAGUCCCAGCUAAAAGAUAUGGGUUUGGGAUUCUGGCUGAUAUAGUGAGAAGAAUUUGGCCACCAGAUAGGAUAGCUAGCCUAUCCCCACAAGGUGAGUUGAAUGCCCCUGAAAAUCAACUCGGGCUCCAGGGACAACUUAAAGUUUCUAUCCAAUUUCAUUGGGUUAAGGCAAAUAGAGCUUAAUCUGUCAAAUUUAUGAACUAAGGAAAUAUUAGUUAAAGGUUGAGUUAAAGUGAUUGCUUUACUUUUGGCACAAAACUUACUAGAUUACUGAGUGGAUAUUCUAGAUGUUUAAGUUCUGUUUGAAUGCAGAACUGGUUUUAAAAUUUGUAACUGUAAUAAAUUGAAUAUUAAUUUCAACACAGGUAGCAUGAGUAUUCUUUGACAUGAUCAAAACAUCAUUCAUUUAUCAAACUUACUGAGUAACUAUCAUGUAUCAGGUGCUAUUCUAGAUGAUGAGGAUAUAGAUGUAAGCAAAACAAAGUCCUGGCUCUCAAACAAACCUACAUUCUGGCAGUAGACAACUGGUAAUAAAGAAAAAGAUAUAUAAUAUGCUAGGUGAUAAUUAUCAUAAAGAAAAAUAUAAUUUAAAACUCAAGUGAGCAUGUAGAAAAUGUAUGCAUGUAUUGCUCCUCUCCUUAACAACAAGAAAAAAGACAGAAUAGCCUAUAACAUCAUAACUUUCUUGCAUCUACCAGAGAGCUAAGGUCUCAGGGCAAUCACGUGGCCUGAAACCUAAGGAAAGACAAGCACCUCCAAGGAGAGAUGGGACACAGGACUGGCUCACAUGUGGCAGAACACGGGAGGAAGAGAUGACAAGUGCUAUACAAGCAAUUGGGAAGAAAUCAGCUCACCAUUUUAAUGGCCCACUAAAGGCUAAGUGUGGGCUAGAGUAGAACUUCUGAGAGCUACAGACAGAAGGAGAAUUCAUGGCUGUUUGUACGCAAAAGACUGGACCCAGGGAAUGAGACUGGAGAGAGCCGUCUCCAGGGUGUGGGCCUGGAGGAAGAGAGCAGCUGCCAAGGUCAGAAAGGCAGCCAACCCUCUGCCUGGUGAACAAAGGCCUUAAGUUUCUGAGGAAGGUCAGAAAAACCUGUUGGGCCCAGGGUCCUACAUCUGGGGGAGGGAAAAAAUUAAAACCCGCUGUUCUGAGAUUGAGGCAGGAAACCAACCUGGGCCCAUGACCUGAGAGGUCUCCGACUGCUUGCAGGGGACUGGAUCGCUAAGAAGGUCCAUCCUACAGACACAGGAACCCAGCAUCCUCUUAAGACUGGGACUGGACCCUCCCCUUGGCCCUCAACCACCAGAAGAGCAAGCACUAAGUAACCAGCACAAGCAGUCUCCUGCUGGGUGAGAGGAACACAAGUGUGGAGAUAAUCCAUGUGAAGUGUAGGAGCACAGGGAAGGCUGUGAGCUGAGUACAGAAUAGGAACACAGAGAAAAACACUCUGGCCUCCCAGCAAGACCCAACUAUAUGCUGUCCCAAAGAGAUGGACUGGAAAUACAAAGCUAUAAGGAGGUUGAAAGUAAAAGGAUAGAAAGAGACUAUGCAAUUAGCAAGCAUUAAGAAAGCUGUGUAUCCAUGUUAAAAUCAGACAAAACAGCAAGACAAGAAAUUUUGUUCAAGGCACAAGGAGACAAGUCAUAAUAAUAAAAGGAUCGACACAUCAGGUAGAGAUAAAAAUUCUAAAUGUUUAUGUACAUGAUAGUAAAACUUCGAAAUACAUGAAGCAAAAACUGACAGAAUUAAGGAGAGAAAUAAACAGAUCCACAAUCUAACUGGAGAUUUUAACAUGCUGCUCUCGAUAACUGAUAAAAUGAAGAGACAAUAGUACAGAAAUGAUCUCAGUGAUACUACCAACCACCUUAAUGUAAUUGAUAUUUAUAGAACACUAUCCCCCAAAGUGCAGAAUACACAUUUUUUUUAAGUGCAUAGAGAACAUGCAUAUAGGAUGGGACACACAACAAGUUUCCAUAGAUGUCAGAAGAAUGAAAUCUUGCAGGUUAUGUUAUCUGACCACAACAGAAUUAAAUUAGAAAUAAUAAAUAUGAGACAUCUAGAAGAUCUCCAUAUAUUUGGAAAUUAAGCAUCUCACUUACCUAAACCAAUGGGUAAAUAAAGAAAUCAAAACAAAAAGUGAAAAAGUUUAACAAAAUGAAAAUAAAAACACAAAUUACCAUUUGUAGGAUGCAGCUAAAACAGUGCUUAGAGAAGAAGUUUAUAGCUUUACAUGCUUAUAUUAAAAAGAAGAAAAAGGUCUAAAUCAAUUAUCUAAAAUUACGCUAUAGAGGUAAACAAAAAAGAGGAGCAAACUAAACUCAUGUGAAUAGGGCAGAAAUCAAGUUAUGAGCAGAAAUUAAUGAAAUGGGAAAAGAGAUAAGUAGAGAAAUCCAGUGAAACCAGCAGCUGGUUUUUUUUUAAGUCAAAAAAAGGGAUAACUUCUAACUAUUUUGGAUCAAUAAAAGACACAAAUGACCAAUUUCAAGAAUGAGAGGGGACCCAUAAUACAUCUGUGGGCCACUGAUUUUUGACAAGGGUGAGAAGACCAUUCAAUGGAGAAAGAAUAGUCUUUUCAAUAAAUGGUGCUGAGGAAACUACAUAUCCACAUACAAAAGAAUGAGGUUUGACCCCUAUCUCACACCACAUCUCAAGAUUAACUCAAAAUGAAUCAAAGACCUGAAUUUCAAAGCUAAAAUUAUAAAACUCUUAGGAAGAAACACUUGAAGAAUUUGGCUGUACCAACUGCUUGCCUUAGAAGGAGUGUAAGCAGAGUUUCUUCAAAGUUGCCUACACUUCAGACUUGAGUAGAGCUCAGUUGGUGGGGUUUACAGAAGUCAAACAGAACAUGGAUAUUGGAAAAAUAUGUUACCAUAAAACAUGCAGGAGAAACAUGUUAAAUGCCUCCCAUGGACUUUACAUCUGCUGUUCCUAUAAGCUAGAAUAUUUCUCACUUCACUCCUCCUCACACUUCACCUCAUUAAACUGAUAAAGCACCGCUCUCCCAAGAACCUUCCCUGAUCCCAAAUACUAGGUUAGACUACCCCUGUCAUAUACUUCAUAGCACUUUGAAUUUCUUCAUAACACUAUGCAUGCUUAUACUGAGACUAUUUGUGCUAUAUCAGUCUUCCCUAUGGGUGACAAGCUCCAAAAGGCAAGCGGCCCAAUCUUUCUUUGAGCUGCUGUAUACCUAGUAUCUAGCAUAGAGCCUGGCAUGUGGUAUUAGAUAAAUAUCUGGGACUGAAUGGAUGGACUUCUGCCUUGGCCUACACUCUCCACUUCUCCCACCCUGAGAAUUCCUGAGCUCACAUAUCUGUAAUGCAGGGAACUCUAAGGCUGGCCUUCAGGCCAGAGCAGAUCACAUCCCAUCCUCCCAUCUGUGCCCCUGAAGAAAUAAGCAGAGAGCAGAGAGUCACCUUGUUGUAGGCCAGGCUAAGGUACCUCAGCUCUGGAAAGGGCGGGGCCAGCAUCUGGUUUCUGGCCUUCAGUGACUUCACGGGAAGAAUCUUGAAUAUGGGAGGAAGUGCACAUACCUUGGUUUCCUUAGAAGGAAAAAAAGGUCUAUGUCAAAAUGUCCCAAAGAUAAGAAGCUGAAUGCUGCCAAGACAUUCUAGAGAGGGUUGGCCAAAAGAGGCAUCUAGGGUCACAACGGGAGAUGUUACCAAGGGCCCAGAGUUCUGGCUUCAAGUUCUCUGAGGUCACAUGAUGAGUUGAUUCUCUGGCCCCUAAAGUUCCAGUUUCAAGUUCUAUGAGGCCAAAUGACAAUACAGCAGUGGUGUAGGCUUAGAGGUUUUUUGCCCCUACCUCUCACUUUCUGCCCUUUGGCAGCUUAUUCUGAAAUGGCCCUUCUCUACAGUUGGGCUAAAAUUUCUGCAAAUGGCAAAAGGACAGUGAACAUUAGCAGAGCACCUACUUGGGGUCAAGUGUUUUGUGCCCUCCUAGGCUCUAAAUUGUACCGAGUGGGACAGAGCCCUGCAAUUCAUCCUCGCUCUCUUGGAACCCGAAGGCCACCAUGUUGUAAAGAAGUCCUUAAUAAAUACUUCAUGUAGAUGCCAAGCCAUACCAGUUGUCCAUGAACCCAGGCCCCAGGGAACCAGCCAGCUGCAUGAAUGAGCCCUGGAAAAACCAGCAGAACCACCUAACCAGCCCAAACAUUUGUGAGAAUAAAUUGCUAUUGUUUAAAGUAAUUGUUGGGUUGGUUUGUUAUAUGCCAAUUGUUAAC